ensembl:snoRNA SNORD113-7 small nucleolar RNA SNORD113/SNORD114 family
UGGAUCAAUGAUGAGUACCUGUGGGGCAUCUGAACAAAAUACUCUGAUUAGACCCUGUCUGUGACUCUGAGGUCCGU